AUUCUCACAUCCUCUCGGAAGAGAUACGCUCUCUGCCAAUUUCUAAAGACAGUGGCACUUCCAGGAUGUUCUGCCUGUGGAUAUGUUUGAGUGUGUUUUGUGCUUUACCAAGCACUGUAUCAUCAGAUCAAGGCGUGUCACUGACGUGUAACGAGGCUGUCAACGUUACCGCUGGAGAAAAUGUGAUUCUAACCUGUUUCAUAAAUUGGAUUUUAGAAGGAGAAGACUGUGUUGGUCACAGUUAUGUCUGGCGUAACACAAAUGGCACCAAACUCUGUGACAAUGGCGUAAAAUACGGCUGUAAAUGGAAUAAUUAUACCUAUGUGUCACUGACCAUCUUAGAUGUGAUAGAAAAGGACGUUGUCACAGUUGAAAUCUCGACAACCUGUGGUAUGGAGAAAUCCCGUCCUAUCAGAGUACAGCCAAUCAGCAGUGAACCAGCUGUAUCAGAUCGGUUGCAGGAGGAGUCAGCACAUGCUGCAACCACUGCGCUUUGUGUUUUUGCCUCUGCUGCUGUUGUUGUGGUCAUUUUGUGUUUCCUAUAUAGAAAAUACAGAUGCAGAGUGAGAGGACAGUGACAUAGACUGCACCAGGGAGUACAGACGGACAAAUUCAGAUUGUUUUUAUCAGUGAACGGGUGGAUAUGAAUGUGUAAGCUGUUUGUGAAAGCUAGUGCUCACCAUUGAUGGCUCUGCUCCUAAACCGUCCUGUUGUCAUCAUUGUUUUGUCAUCCGUUUCAUUUUUAGUCUUUCAUGAAAUUCUUUCUUGUGUUUAUGCUGACUGAGCAACAUUCACAUGAGGAUUUUAUGUGAUUAACAGAGUGCUCUACAUGACUUUCAGUCAUGUCAUAUAGUUAAAAGAGGAAAAUGAUGAUGAACCAGCAUUGAUGUAGAUGUUGCACUGUGCAGUAAAGACUCUAUGUUGGGAUUUUUUUUUAACUUUCUGCCUUUAGUCUCUUAUGUCUAAACACUGGCACGGUGUUCUUGUUUCUCUGUUUCUAAAUUAGGUUUAAUUGCAUUUGCAAGAAACUUUUUUUUCUUUUAAGUUCUUCCUUUUUGCACAGUGUUGACAUGAAUUUAUUUCCAUUUACACUUCUUCACUUAGACCGUUUUAAAAUAUUCACUUAUAUCAUAUGAUUUUGAUUCAGCGUGGACCUUCACAUAUUUAAUUCUGGCUCAGCAAAGCGUGAACCAUGGAACUGUGAAGUUUAGUAGGUCAUUCUUACUUUUAACCACUUGGGAAAGCUGUCUGUAUUUGAACAGCCUGUGGCUCUGAAACUGAUGACCUGAACCUGUGGAAACUGAAGGAAUUUGAAGAGUUUAAUGAUUCAGAAUCUUAGUAGUCUAAUAUGAGAGUAUUUCAAAUUCCGUGUGACGGGAUCAUACCAAAAGAGUAGGGUCUCAGACCUCAAAGUUUGCUGGUGACACUAUUGUGUUUGGAGUCAUUGCUGACAGGAAUAAAUCAGCCUAUAGGUGUUAGGUGGAGCAGCUGUCCAGGUGGUGCAAAGACAACAACUUGGUCUUGUCCUCAGACAGAUGAUUCAAGCCUAUGAAACAAGGAUCAACCUGUGAAAGAACAGGUUAGAUUCUGAAGCAAUUAUGUCAGUUAAUGCUGAGUAAAGCACUCAGGCCGCAGUUUUCAACAGCAACAGGAAGGGAAUGUGCAAUAUGUUGAAAGACAAGUGCAUGAGAUGAUUUCACUUACUAUCAAAAAGAAAGAGGUUAUGUUUUUGUUGGCAUUUGUGUGCAUACAGGCAUGUUAUCUUUCUUUAUCUGACAAAAACUUUGUAGGUGUGUCGAGCUGGGUCAUGUUAAUGAUUUGGCUUAAAAUUUGGCUUACAUCCAGCAAGAUCUUCAAGGUCAACUUUAAUGAUUUAUAGGUUGAAAAUUUACAAAAAGAUUGUUAACUUAGAAACUAUCAUUCUUUUAAGUGUGAUGUAAAUUGGUAACAUAUAGAAAGUACUGUAUAAAGAUGUAAAAUAUCAGGUCACAUUUGCCCCUCCAUGAGUCUCCGUUUUACCAUGGUGCAGAGGUUUGUGUGCCAGGGGCUAGGUUUAGUUUAAAAUGAAUUGUUUUGUGCUGUAAUUCUGUAUCUAUUUAUACUCUCGUUAGUUCCUUUUCCUUAUUUUGUGCUUGUAUUUCCCGCACUGAAUACUCUCACCUUUGUUAUCCUUCACACAUUUUGAAUUACUGCUCACUUGCCAGAUGUGUUUCUUGUAGUGAAGUAUUUUGGGGGCGAUUUUUAGUUCUUUCUCUUGUCACUCCUUAUGUUGACUUCCUCCUGUGCAACCUUUUGAAGUGUUUUUAGAUUUUGGCUUGGCUGUUUAUUGGAUGCCUUCAUGUGCAUAACCACUGCCUGUUUUGGAAAUACAGAUUUUUAUUGGUGGACUUUAAGUCUGUGGACAUCUUUAGACUACUCCUGCUACCACUGCUACAAAAAUAACUAUUUAAAACAUUUUUUAGUAAUUAAUCCCAACGUUUAUAUCUUUUUUUAUUUAAAAAAAAAAAAAUAAUCAGUAGCAACUUUUCAUUCAUCUUACUUUGUUUAUUCUCAUAUGAACUGUCCCAAGAGUCGAUUUGAACGUUAAUGUUUACAAACAGAGAGUACCAAAAACAACUGUUGUCAUCGGGCACCUUUCAUAAUGGACACAAGAGGCCAGUUUUGUUUGGAAAACUGAAAUAAUUUUCAUUUCAUCAAUGUGUUAUGUUGUAAUCUCAAAGUAGUUCAUCUAAACUUCAUGUUGAGCAACGUGUGUGCCUCUUACAUUCCCUUCAUCUCAGCAAAUCAGUUAUUUUAACUCUGCAGGUAGGUAACUCUGA